AACCUGCCUGUAAGACUGGGAUAACUCCGGGAAACCGGAGCUAAUACCGGAUAGUUCCUUGAACCGCAUGGUUCAAGGAUGAAAGACGGUUUCGGCUGUCACUUACAGAUGGACCCGCGGCGCAUUAGCUAGUUGGUGGGGUUAUGGCUCACCAAGGCGACGAUGCGUAGCCGACCUGAGAGGGUGAUCGGCCACACUGGGACUGAGACACGGCCCAGACUCCUACGGG
rnacentral:rRNA from 1 species